GUCAUUCUGAACUAGCCAUGGCAGUAGUCGUGGUGUUUCUCUUUGUUGUGUUUUGCACUUGCAUGCAAGGAAAUUGUAAAACAUUUGGGCAUGAUGGGUUUGAAAAACGUAUUCUGAUAGAAGAUAACUACUACACCGUAAUAUCGCGACUGGAUGCACUUGAAAGCGAAAACACCAAGCUUAAACAAGAAAUAACUUCUCUUAAAGGGACCGUGUCAAGUCUGAUUUCACAACCAACAGUUGCGUUUAUGGCCUACCUGACACAUGACGUGAGUGGGCAACAUCAACACAUCAUAUUUGAAAAUGUCAAAUUGAACCUCUGAAACGCAUACUACCCGAACCAUGGCAACUUUCUGGCCCCGAGUAAUGGGCUUAACGUAUUUCAUAUAAAUGCAUGCUCGUUGAAUCCGCAUUUCAUCACCCUUGAUUUAAAAGUAAACGGUUCAAAGAUUGGAAGCGUACUCGCGGGAGAUCAAGAUUUUUCAAGUUGCAGCUCGAACACGUUUUAUGUUCAUCUCAACAUCGGAGACGACGUUUACGUGACACAUGAAGCUGAAGGAGACCUUCUUCGUGAGAACAGUGCCUGGAGUGACCCUUCAUUCUCCGGGGCGCUAUUACAUGCUGACAGCGUGGGAGUUAGAAGUAGUAUAUAGUUGUGAAUUCUCAACAUUGAAUUAAUAAGUGCGUUCUUAAUACAAUCAAUAAAAUGAAAUUCGUCACAA